UGCGAGUGUCGUUAAAUGGGGCCUUUACACAGAUUUUGGCAUGCACUGAAGUUUGUCAUUCAAUUCUUUAUAUUAAUAAAUCUAAACAUUGGAUCUAAAGAGCUCCAUUUAAAAACAAAACAAGAAUAAAAUUAAAGAAAGAAAAAAAAAUCAACUGGGCUCGUACCACUGACCACUGGAGUAAAUCAGUACGGGGUGUGUUUUGCUGACGGAGCUACAGCAGGAACAACGAUUGGGACAUACACCGUAGCGGACGCCCAAACCGGGGAUACCAUUGCUUAUACGCUUGCUGGGACCACUGACCUGAAGUACGAUGCGACGACAGGCGUGUUGUCGGUCAACAAAGGCGUAACUCUGGACAAAUCAACCCAAGGAGGUUAUAUUGCUUUGCUGUUUGCAACUCCUGCAGCUGGCAGCACUUCUUCCACCUCUCCGGGUACCUGUGCCAUAAAUGUUGUCGUGGCAACCUGCAGCAGCGGUGUAGUGCAUGUCACCGCCAUGCUCGGCAUGCAGCUGCUUUGCUAGUUACAUAAUAUUACAAUUCUAAAACGCUUGCACACAAGUGAUAACAUAUUUCAUCGUCCGUUAAUCACCACCAAAAAGCAAACGCAGUUAACAAAGCUUUUUGUUCUUUGUUGACUCUAGAAAUGUACAAAUAUGUAUGCAAUUGUUUUUUCUUACUGUUGGAAAGUAUAAGACGACAUAUUUUUUUACAUUAUGGACUAUUUUAGCAGAGGAAGUACUUAUUUCUACUCCGACACUCACAAUUCUUGCUAUAUUGGACGUAAAGCAAAUGUUUUAUAUAUGUAAUAGUUGUUUCGAUCUAUGUUUAUUUACUAACAAAGAUUUGUCCUGUAUGAAUAUCCGUAAAGGAUGAUGAAAUCAUGGACUUUCUUCUUUCUUGU